rnacentral:tRNA from 1 species
GCUGGCGUAGCUCAACGGCAGAGCAUCUGAUUUGUAAUCAGAGGGUUGGGGGUUCAAAUCCCCCCGCCAGCUCCG